rnacentral:lncRNA from 12 species
CCCUCGCACAGGACAUAGCCAAAUGAGUCAGAGGCACUGCAGGCUUUAAUCAGCCCACCUGACGUCAAACCUCUCCAUCAGAGGAAAGUGCCGCCUGGAAAUGUCAACAUGCCCAAAUGGAAAGGCCAGAAGGAUUUCUUGUGGAUCUGGACCUUGCUUUUAACCCUUGGCGGUACAGGGAACAUCACUCCUCCCACUCCCCUGACCAGCCUGUGUGUGCUGUAUCUGCUUGAUUCUGACCAGAGAAGAUUCUGUUGGAUGUGGCCAAGAUGCAAGUGUCCAACUUCUCUACCAUGCUUGAGAGGUCAAGUGGCACAGAUCUGCAUGGAUUGCUCUCUAGUCAUUCAUUCAGCCUGA